ensembl:ncRNA T26E3.15 ncRNA
UUUUCGAAAUAUUGCCCGAAUGGCGCAGUGGGAUUUUUCAUAUCUACCAAUCUCAAGACCAGGGUUCGAGUCC